rnacentral:snRNA from 1 species
CACAGAGAUCAGCAUGACCCCUGCUCAAGGAUGACACGCAAAAUCGUGAAGCGUUUCAUAUUUUU